AUUACUUGAGGGCAGAACGGGCAGCUGCCACGCCACUAUCUUUGGUGGUCUUAAAAGAGAUGUAGGGUUGCCAACCUACCAAAUAAU
rnacentral:ncRNA from 1 species